CUAACUAGAAUGCCUGACACAGUAAAACCUCAAAAAAGUCAUCAUUAUGUAUUGAAAUCUUGAGGGCAAAUACAAAAUGGCUUACGUGUCUUCAAAAGGAAUUCUAAUAAAAGUAAUUCUGUGAUUUCCCAAUUCUGGUGAUUCAAUGGAACUCAUAAAAGAUAGAUCAAAUCAGAAAGCCGUGUGCAUUAAAAGGAGUUUUAAAAAAGGAAACUCUGCAUGUCUAAAGUUAAGCUGAAGCAUGACUACUGCAUUGGAGAAACCGUUCAAGAUCAGUUCAUCCCGGUGAAAAUAUUACUUCUGUAGCUAUGCCAAGGAAUUUACUCCAGAAGACUCCAGACCAUCCGCUGACAUUUCACAGUUUAAUCCCGGCUUCGGUUUCACAACUGGUGCUCAAAGCAGAAGAGGCGCACUGCGCCGUGCGAAUAGACAUUUAGAGCCUUUCAUGGCGGAAACAGUACCUAGCCCCUACUCCUUCCCAAGGGUGCCACGCAGAUUUCUGAGAUAUGAAAAAUGUGGGAAGGAAAGUUUCUGCAAAGCCCUGAUCCUUAGAAAAGCAAACUCCGCCGCCACAGUCCACAAGCCGCGCUCCAGCCUUGCUCCCUGCCAAGGAGCCGGCCAAGACCCAGACUCAGCAGGAGCGCGGGUGGUGGCUCCAGUUAAUGGCCCGCUUUCAUUCCUCCCUUCCCUGAACACUUUUAAACUUUUUUCUGGAGUCGACCCAAGCUCAGCAGAAUUUCCAGAUCCAUGGAAGUGCAGCAUGCAAGCAGCCCAUUUCCUGACAACGCUGCAAAGCUUCAGGGGACACAUUUUGUUAUUUCCACAUUUACGAGUCGAGCCGAAGCCCUGAGCCUGACUCCUGACCAGGCCAUCCCCCACCUGGGAAUGUUCCAGGGCUGAGCCGGGAGGAGAGGAUGCUAAACAGAGGAAGGAGCAUGCGCAGCAAAGUUAAUAAAAGUAAAUGUUCCAGUGGCUGCCUAGAUAGAAACACUGGCUUCCAACGGGUCUCUAAAAGGGACUGAGGUGUGAAGAUCAUUUUCUGAGCCCUGUUCAAGACUCUUCCCAUGAUAAUGUUCUGGCAUGAGCGCAAAGAAAGCAAAGUUUUGAGAAAUGUGGUUCAAACUAAAUGGCACAUUCUCUAAGGGAACUCUUUCUUUCUGAAAGAAAAUGAGGCAAACCUCAUUUGAGAUCUGAAAAAUGAGGCAAAGGGACCAUACAGGAUUUCAACAAUAAUGAAGCUGUUCAGCACUUAAUAUAUACACAACAUCGCGCUGGGCACUGUGAACAGUACAAAGAGAAAUGUAAUCACGGAACAAAUUAUUUUUAAACAACUCUAAGGUG
rnacentral:lncRNA from 1 species